rnacentral:misc_RNA from 1 species
AACGCACAUUGCGCCCCUUGGUAUUCCGGGGGGCAUGCCUGUUCGAGCGUCAUUACAACCCUCAAGCUCUGCUUGGUCUUGGGCGUCACCGGUCCCCGGUGUGCCUUAAAAUCAGUGGCGGCGCCACCUGGCUCUAAGCGUAGUACAUCCUCUCGCUACAGACGCCCGGCGGAUGCUGGCCAGCAACCCCCCAUCUAUCAAGGUUGACCUCGGAUCAGGUAGGGAUACCCGCUGAACUUAA